UAGUAUUAGAUAUAAUCUUGAAACUUAAAAAAUUUGGCGGUAUUUUAAUCUUUUCAGAGGAACCUGUUCUGUAAUCGAUAUUCCACGUUUAAUUUUACUAAAUUAUUUGUAUAUCGUUGUCGAAAGAAUAAAUUUUCUAAUAUUAAAAUUUUAAUAGAUGUCAAAUCAAGGUGCAGUUAAUAAUUUAGAAGAAAUGGGUUACAAUAAAUUUAUUUAGGAAUUAUAUAAAGG
rnacentral:rRNA from 1 species